GCCAAACUGCAACAAACUCGGGAGGCUGAGGCAAAAGAAUCGCCUAAGCCCAGGAGUUGGAGAUUGCUGUGAGCUGUGAGGCCACAGCACUCUACCAAAGGCAAUAAAGUGAGAUUUUGUCUCUCUCUCUAAAAAAAAAAAGAAUAUUUGAAGUAUUGGAUCAUUGGUUGAAAAUAUGAGGACAUAUAUAAAUUUAAUGAAAUGGGAAGAUGGAAGAACAAGAGGAAAUAAAUAGACAUUGAGAAAGAAAGUAUCAAGAUGGAAUUGUCCUCGGAGACUAUGCUGCAGAACAGCUUGAUUCUCGUGGUUUUGGAAGAUUGGUGAGAAGGAGAGCAUCUCUGAUUCCUGGGCAUUUAGGCAUCAGGAGAUUAAUGAGAGAAUGAAGGGACUGUUAUGCCUGAAAGGGAACCCUCUUUGAUGUUGCCCUUUGAGAUACCAAGAGAAAUAAAAGCAGAAAAGGAUUCUAUUAACUGAUUUACUUCCCAUAGUAAUACGGUGAUUGAACACUGAUUAAUCCUCUCUGACAUUUUAACGAUUAGAAAGCAUCUUAGAAAAAUUGAAAAGUCAAAAAGAACUGAUAAAUAGACUCUUUCCAUACUGUUUUAACCAAAAAGUACAGUUUUGGAGUCCAUCUUCACAAAAUGAAAUACUAAAUGUUGAAAAAUUAUUGCCAAAUACUUUUUAAAGUAAUUGUUUGAGUUCCUCUAAAUUAGUUAACUUGGCUAUUUUUCCACAUAAUGAACAUCUGGUUAAAUUCAUGUAUACAAAUAUGAAGAAAUUAUAUUUUUUGGAGACACAGUUACAGGAGUUCCUUUGACACUCGGAACUCUCUUUAACCUGCCAAAAGAUGCUCUGAUAACUUUGCAGUGCUUGAAACUUACUUUGUCAGACUCACUGGCAAGAAGCCUGCAUUUGGGAAGUAGACCUUAUAGAAGUAGAACCUCUUAGCCAAUUUGGAAGAUUUUGAAUUUUUGUUGGAACAAUAAAGUUGAUUGCUUUCACCACAUGUUAUAAAUAUUAACAAUGAAGGUCAAAAUUGUUCUGAUGGGAAAGAUGUUCUGUGAGCACAAGCAGCAUUUGGAGCAGCAGAGCAUCUUGUCUCUGCCCUUGGCUGGUGUCCUGGGAACAUGGCAUACGACAGCCAAACACAGCAGGACGCAGUUCCAAGUUUGGGAGCAAUGUCAGAAAAUGUCAUUUUCUGAAGCCCCUCUGCGUUCGAGGUACAAACCCUACAUUUACUUCUCUAGACUCUCAGGGAUAAUUUGUGAGAGAGCUCACAGAUGGUGCAUUUGCACGUACACACCUCAUCCGUCUUCCUCCUAAAAGGCAAAGGAAAAGCCAGGUGAGGACACAGCUUGAUGGAGGACUCCUAUGAACCAGCAAGAGAGCUCUCACCAAAACUUGGCUAUGGUGGCACCCUAAUAUUAGACUUACAGACUCUAGAACUGUGACAAAAUAAGUUUCUGUUGUUUUAGCCAACCCAGUCUAUGGCAAUUUUUUAUGGCAGCCUUAGCCUCCUCUUCUAUUUCAACUAAAAGGAGAGCAAGAGAAUGGGUCUACUUUGUAGUAGGAGGAAAGUAGC